rnacentral:misc_RNA from 1 species
GCACAUUGUUCCAACUAAAUUCAAAUCCUUUUUAUCACUUCCAAAGGAUCUAUUUGUAUGUACAACUCCACACUCUAUAGCCUUACAAUCAAUCAACAACUAAAAUUUUCAUUUAACUUUUUUUUAAAUAAAAAUAAAAAACCACAUGAACAUUCCCUAUCUUUACGCCUUGAAAUUCAAAAGGGAAAACUAACAAGCUUUCUCCGAUGAAUAAUUACAAACUUUACUGUCAGAAAUUUGACGAGUUUGGGCAAUUCC